AAGAGUUUGAUCAUGGGCUCAGGAUAAACGCUGGCGGCGUGCAUAACACAUGCAAGUCGAACGAUGAAGCUUAACUGAUUUCUUCGGAAUGAUUUUAAGUGGAUUAGUGGCGGACGGGUGAGUAACGCGUGAGUAACCUGCCUUGCACAAGGGGAUAGCCGUUGGAAACGACGAAUAAUACCCUAUGAUAUAAACUCUUCGCAUGAAGAGCUUAUCAAAGAUUUAUCGGUGUAAGAUGGACUCGCGUCUGAUUAGCUAGUUGGUGGGAUAAAAGCCUACCAAGGCAACGAUCAGUAGCCGGCUUGAGAGAGUGUACGGCCACAUUGGGACUGAGACACGGCCCAGACUCCUACGGGAGGCAGCAGUGGGGAAUUUUGCACAAUGGGGGAAACCCUGAUGCAGCGACGCCGCGUGAUUUAGAAGGCCUUCGGGUUGUAAAAAUCUUUUGUAUGGGAAGAAAAUGACAGUACCAUACGAAUAAGGACCGGCUAAUUACGUGNCAGCAGCCGCGGUAAUACGUAAGGUCCGAGCGUUGUCCGGAAUCAUUGGGCGUAAAGGGUACGUAGGCGGAUAAGCAAGUUAGAAGUGAAAUCCUAUAGCUCAACUAUAUUAAGCUUUUAAAACUGCUCAUCUUGAGGUAUGGAAGGGAAAGUGGAAUUCCUAGUGUAGCGGGUGAAAUGC
rnacentral:rRNA from 1 species